GUCCGAUGUGGUGAAUCAAUAUGAAAAAACUGUCGCGCAUGCGUUUUGGGUCUCUAUGCUGGCGCCUUCCCUAGGCGAAGAAUCGGAUGUGCACACUGCCUCACAACAUCCCCGGGUGGCGCUAUGCUUAUUAUUGCGCUGUGCUCAACCGAACUACUUUCCAAGUGUCACGUGCUUUCUUCAUAUCCCGGGUUUCAGCCGUGGGUCAAGUGCAAGGCCAUUGAAUUGGACGUGCUUAGAAAAUGUCCAGCGGUUCCAUCACCUCCAGCACAACCGUGCGCGGGCCCAUCAUGACCAGCCUGGUGACGACACGGUAGUCAAGGUGGAGGACACAGCGGCCAUUCACCUGGCUGAUAAACUGCCGCACCUGAGGAAGGCCAUCAACAUCGGCGUUUAGGACCCCUGUCGCAUCCUUAAAACACGUCUCUGUAUAGGAGCUGCUGACCUGAUUUGGGAUUGCACCUGGUGAGAGGAAGGGGGAGCAGUGGGGAGGGGGGGAAAUACCCAUCCUGAGUCAUCUGCUGCGAGGUCACUCCCCCCCGAUGGACAGUAGAUGUUACCCUGAUC